CGACGAGAAGCGGAUCGAGAGCUUUCGGAUCUACUUCUCCUGUUCUUCUUCUACUUCAAUCUUCCUCGCCGUUCUCUGGUGCUUUGAAUCGCGGCGUUCACGUAUCUUGAAUCGAAGGCGCGGUUCGAUCGUUGGAUUCGAGAGGAUUCACUGAAGCAAGGGACACCCUGGAUUGGGGAUGGAAUCAAAGUCCAGCAAGAACAGCCAAUGAAUUCGCCGGCAAAGAUGACCGAUGCAACGACGAGGUUAGCGGAAGCUCGUCUCAGAGACUGAGGCAGAGUGGAUUCUAGCUCCACCGAUCAAAGCUUCAACGUGGAGCUUUGAUGGCUUUGUCUCAGAGCUUUGGUAAGGGUGGAAUGGUGGUGAAGAUGCGGAAUAGAAGAUGGAAACUGGAAGAAGCAGGUUGAGAGUGAUGAUUGAAGAGGAGUUCUUGGAGGAGGUUGUGGGGUUUUCUGUUAGAGGUUGGUUAGAGGUUUGCUUAGGUUGGAAGAAUGCAGGUUUGGUUAGGGUGAAGAAACUUUGGUUGAAUGGUGAUGGAGGUGGUAGAAGAAACUGGUGAAUUGUUGAAUUAUGGGAAAGAUGAUGGAAGAAACUUGGAUUGAAGAUGGAGGAUGGUUCUUAUAGGAGAGUAAGGUUAGAGAGAUGGUUGGUUAUGUCCUAGAAUCGUUCAAUUGAGGCACUUUAGGGAAUUGGUUAGAAUUUAGGGAAUUGGUUAGAGUCAGUUAUGACAAUUGGGAGGUUAGGAGUCAAUGACCAUUGGCAACAGCUGGAAUUGAUUAGGCGGUUAUGACGGGUGAAGACAGUUAGAUUUCUGUUAUAAAGUUAGUUUGCAAUUUUUCUGAUUCUGUUAUGUACUGCUUUCUUUUAUGCAGGUUUUGUUAGAAGGUUGUUGAUAGUUGGAAGUUAUGAAGGGUGUUAUGAAUGAGUUGAAGGAUUCAUGAUGAUGAAUGAUGAAGAGUGAAGUUCUAUCCUCCCAAAAAAAUUGUUUGCAACAUGACAAUGGCUUGAGGUUCACGACCAAUACAAAUAGAAUAUGUUGGUUAGUGGUAUGGAUUUCGGGAUGUCCCUCAGAAGCUGCAUAAUCAGCGUGCUGUCUUUGUAAGAUUCCUCAUUGAGAGAAUCCAAAUCAACAAUGGCUACAUCAAAUGCUUGCUUGGCAC